UCCGUAGGUGAACCUGUAAGUUAAAUCCAAUACCUUUCUUUAUUCUGUAGUUACUAACAUUUUCUAGGCGGAGGGAUCAUUA
rnacentral:rRNA from 1 species